AUGGGUGUGGCCUAAGGAAGGCACUUUCAUUAUGGAGCAAGAUCUGGGUUCAAAUCCCGGUACUAAUA
rnacentral:tRNA from 1 species